rnacentral:rRNA from 1 species
GACGUAGGGCGCGAGCGUUGUCCGGAUUUAUUGGGCGUAAAGAGCUCGUAGGCGGCUCGUUGCGUCGGCUGUGAAAACCCGCAGCUCAACUGUGGGCUUGCAGCUGAUACGGGCGGGCUGGAGUUCGGUAGGGGAGACUGGAAUUCCUGGUGUAGCGGUGAAAUGCGCAGAUAUCAGGAGGAACACCGGUGGCGAAGGCGGUUACCUGGAGCUUUGCUGACGCUGAUGCGCGAAAGCGUGGGGAGCGAUCCGG